CAAUAGCGUAUAUUAAAGUUGUUGCAGUUAAAAGCUCGUAGUUGGAUUUCUGGCAGGAUUUCGAAGUCCGCUUGUUGCGUGUGCUGAGAGACCCUGCCAUCCUUCUGUUAACUUUUCGCGGUAUUCAUUUACCGGUUGAGGGCUCAGAUAUUUUACCUUGAGAAAAUUAGAGUGUUUCAGGCAGGCUUGCGCCGGAAUACAUUAGCAUGGAAUAAUAGAAUAGGACUUUUGCCUCUUCUGUUGGUCUGAGGGGUUCAAGUAAUGAUUAAUAGGGAUAGUUGGGGGCGAUUAGUACUUAACUGUCAGAGGUGAAAUUCUCGGAUUUGUUAAAGACUAACUUAUGCGAAAGCAUUUGCCAAGGAUGUUUUCUAUUAAUCAAGAACGAAAGUUAGGGGAUCAAAGAUGAUCAGAUACC
rnacentral:rRNA from 1 species